CCCCUCGGCCUCCCGCGCCCUGCGCCCCCAUCUGUCCCCGCCCAGAGUCCCCACGCUCCCCGCCCCCGACUCCUGCGUCCCGCACCCCUGCCGCCCUCCGCCUCCCGCCCUGCGCCCCCCGCCCCAUCUGCCCCCGCCCUGCGCCCCCUCCGGCCCCGCGCCCCCCCUCCGCCUCCCGCGUCCCGCGCUGCGCCCUCCGCCCUCCGCCCCCUGCCCUGCGCCCCCGCGCGCCCCCUCCGCCCCCCGCGCCCCCGCCCUGCGCCCAGGCCGAGGCUCCGCCCGCGCUGGCGGCUGCCGAGCGGUCCGGGCUGUGGCGGCAGCGGGAGGAGGAGAAGGAGGAGGAGGAGGAGCAGGAAAAGCGUCCGGGGGAGGAGGCGGAGGCGGAGGCGGCGGCGGAGGCGGCGGCGGGCGGGGCCGGCGAGUUUAAAGCCCCGCGAGGGGGUGGGGAGCCGGGAGGAGGCAGGAAGGGACGCGAGCGGCGCCGGCGGGAGGCCGCGGGGACCCGAAGUUUGCGCGCAGCCCCGGGCGGCGGGGGGCGGGGGCCGGGACCGGGACCGGGACCGGGACCAGGACCAGGACCGGGACCCCGACCGCCCUGCGCGCCGCCCGCGCCCUCGCCCGCGCCCCCGCCCGCGCCCCCGCCCCGCCGAGGGUCCCGGGGCUCGCAGGCGGCCGGGGCGGCGCCGCGGCAGGUACGGAGUUGGGCGGGAGCGGGCGGCAACUUACUUUGCGGCGGGCGCGGGCGGGGGCGGGGGCCCGGGGCGGAGGAGCCGGGCCGGCAUUGUCUGCGCGCGGGCCGGCCGGUCGGGGACGCGGCGGGGGCGCGGGGCGCGGCGGGCGGAAGGGCGUCGGCUCGGGGCCGGGGGCUGCGGCGGGGGCGGGGGCCGGAGCUCCAGCGGCCGCGGUGCGCCCCGAGCCCGGGGUGGAGACGUAGGGGGAGGUGGAGGAGAGGUGGGGGGCCGGAGCUCCAGCGGCCCCGGUGCGCCCCGAGUCCGGGGUGGAGGGGAGGUGGGGGGGCCGGAGCUCCAGCGGCCCGGUGCGCCCCGAGCUCCGGGUGGAGGGGAGGCGCGGGGUGGAGGGGAGGUGGGGGGCGGAGCUCCAGCGGCCCCUGUGCGCCCGAGUCCGGGGUGGAGGGGAGGUGGGGGGAUGGAGGAGAGGUGGAGGCGUGGAGAGGAGGUGGGGGGGUCCGGAGCUCCAGCGACCCUGGCGCGCCCCGAGCUCCGGGUGGAGGGGAGGCGCGGGGUGGAGGGGAGGUGGGGGGGCGGAGCUCCAGCGGCCCCUGUGCGCCCCGAGUCCGGGGUGGAGGGGAGGUGGGGGGAUGGAGGAGAGGUGGAGGCGUGGAGAGGAGGUGGGGGGGUCCGGAGCUCCAGCGACCCUGGCGCGCCCCGAGCUCCCGGUGGAGGGGAGAUGGGGGAGGGGCUGGGGUCGCGGGAGGGCGGGCAGCCGGAGAUCCAGCAGCCCCGGUGCGCCCCGCGCCAGGGAUGGAGGGGGAGGUGUGAGGCGGGGGGGGGGGGGACGGGAGCUCCAGCGGCCCCGAUGCGCCCGCGCCGGGGGUGGAGGGGAGGUGGGGGGAUGGAGGGGAGGCGGGAAGGGGGAACUGGAGCUCCGGCAGCCCCGGUGCACCCUGCGCCCGGGGUGGAGGGAGGUGGGGGGCGGACCUCAUGCAGCCCUGGUGCGGGGCUGGAGGGGUGGUGGUGGGGGGCCGGACCUCAUGCGGCCCCCGGUGCGCCCCGAGCCCGGGGUGGAGGGGAGGUGGGGGGGGGCGGACUCGCCGGCAGCCCGGGGCACGGCCGGGCCGGAGUCGUUCUUCUCGGUUCCGCCGGCGGCCCGGUUACCCCGCGGGGCCUCACCCCAGCUGUGGGCCCCGGGGCAGCCGCCGCCAGCCGGGGAAAUGUGAUAAGCGCCCGAGCGCCGGCCGAGGAACGUCUGAUGCAACCGGCCUCCCUGGUCGCCUCUCGGCCCGUCUUGCCGCUGCCCUCCGGCUUGUGCCUUAAGGGACUCGGGCUGUUCCCCACUUCUGAUCGCCUUCCCUCUGCUGGGAGAUUGCAAGGAACUUUGCCGACUUUUUGUCAUUGGCUGGGGGCGGAGGGGUGGGCAGUGCAGGGCAGCCACAGGUGA
rnacentral:lncRNA from 1 species